rnacentral:snRNA from 1 species
GUGCUCUCUUCUGCAGCACAUAAAUUAAAAUUACAACAAUACUGAAAAGAUUAGCAUCGCCCCUGUGCAAGGAUGGCAUGCAAAUUCAUGUAGCGUUCCAUAUUUUU